rnacentral:rRNA from 1 species
AUUGAACGCUGGCGGCAUGCUUUACACAUGCAAGUCGAACGGUAACAGGCCUUCGGGUGCUGACGAGUGGCGAACGGGUGAGUAAUGCGUCGGAACGUACCCAGAGGUGGGGGAUAACGCAGCGAAAGCUGUGCUAAUACUGCAUGUGAUCUGAGGAUGAAAGCGGGGGACCGAGCAGCAAUGUUUGGCCUCGCGCCUUUGGAGCGGCCGAUGUCGGAUUAGCUAGUUGGUGGGGUAAAGGCCUACCAAGGCGACGAUCCGUAGCUGGUCUGAGAGGACGACCAGCCACACUGGGACUGAGACACGGCCCAGACUCCUACGGGAGGCAGCAGUGGGGAAUUUUGGACAUUGGGCGCAAGCCUGAUCCAGCAAUGCCGCGUGCGGGAAGAAGGCCUUCGGGUUGUAAACCGCUUUUGGCAGGAACGAAACGGUGUCCGCUAAUACCGGGCGCUAAUGACGGUACCUGCAGAAUAAGCACCGGCUAACUACGUG